rnacentral:lncRNA from 1 species
ACAAAGUAAAUGGAUACCGGAUGCCAAUCAAUAGACUUAUUCCAAUCUCCUAAAACAAAACAAACAUGGAUACCAGAUGCCAAUCAAUGCACUUAUUCCAAUCUCCCAAAACAAAACAAACAUGGAUACCAGAUGCCAAUCAAUGGACUUAUACCAGUCUCCAAGGAAUGAUCAUAGGAAACAACUGCCAAUAAAUGGGCUUACAAUUGACUCCUCACAAGAAACAAAUAACAGAUGCAAUAAGCAAGAGGAAACAAGUUUCCAAUAAAUGGUCUUACACUCGAC